rnacentral:rRNA from 1 species
AAAGAUUAAGCCAUGCAUGUCUAUGCACACGCCCUUGAUUGGUGAAGCCGCGAAAAGCUCAUUACAACAGCCAUAGUUUAUUGGAUCUUUACGUUCCUACAAGGAUAUCUGCGGUAAUUCUGGAGCUAAUACUUGCGAAAAACGGCGACCUUACGGAAGUCGUGCAUUUGUUAGACUAAACCAAUCGGUCCUUCGGGACCGUCAUUUGGUGAACUCUGAAUAACUCAGCUGAUCGCACAGUCUCGUACUGGCGACAAAUCCUUCAAGUGUCUGCCUUAUCAACUGUCGAUGGUAGUUUACACGACUACCAUGGUUGUAACGGGUAACGGAGAAUAAGGGUUCGACUCCGGAGAGGGAGCCUGAGAAACGGCUACCACAUCCAAGGAAGGCAGCAGGCGCGCAAAUUACCCACUCUCAGAACGAGGAGGUAGUGACGAAAAAUAACGAGGUGGCCCUCUUUGAGGUCCAUCAUCGGAAUGGGUACAAUUUAAAUCCUUUAACGAGGAUCUAUUGGAGGGCAAGUCUGGUGCCAGCAGCCGCGGUAAUUCCAGCUCCAAUAGCGUAUACUAAAGUUGUUGCGGUUAAAAAGCUCGUAGUUGGAUCUGCGCCAGGUGGAAGCGGUCGCCCGAUGGGUUGUUACUGCUUACCUCUGGCUAACCAUUCGGUUUUCCCUUGAUGCUCUUAAGUGAGUGUCCUGGGUGACCGGAACGUUUACUUUGAAAAAAUUAGAGUGUUCAAAGCAGGCAUUUCGCCCGAAUAUUCGUGCAUGGAAUAAUAAAAGAGGUCCUUGUAGCCUUUUAUUGGUUAUCGCUACGAGGAAAUGAUCGAAGGGGACAGACGGGGGCAUUUGUAUUGCGACGUUAGAGGUGAAAUUCUUGGAUCGUCGCAAGACAAACUACUGCGAAAGCAUUUGCCAAGAAUGUUUUCAUCAAUCAAGAACGAAAGUCUGAGGUUCGACAGCGAUCAGAUACCGCUUUAGUUCAGACCGUAAACGAUGCCAUCUGGCGAUCCGCCGGCGUUAUGUUUGACCCGGCGGGCAGCCACCGGUAAACCUUUAAGUUGGGUUCCGGGGGAAGUAUGGUUGCAAAGCUGAAACUUAAAGGAAUUGACGGAAGGGCACCACCAGGAGUGGAGCCUGCGGCUUAAUUUGACU